GGGAUUGCCUCAGUAACGGCGAGUGAAGCGGCAACAGCUCAAAUUUGAAAUCUGGCCCCUUCGGGGUCCGAGUUGUAAUUUGUAGAGAGUGUUUCGGGUGAGACCACGGUCUAAGUCCAUUGGAACAUGGCGUCAUAGAGGGUGAGAAUCCCGUAUGUGACUGUGGCUCGAGCCCAUGUGAAGCCUCUUCGACGAGUCGAGUUGUUUGGGAAUGCAGCUCUAAAUGGGUGGUAAAUUUCAUCUAAAGCUAAAUACUGGCUGGAGACCGAUAGCGCACAAGUAGAGUGAUCGAAAGAUGAAAAGCACUUUGGAAAGAGAGUUAAACAGUACGUGAAAUUGUUGAAAGGGAAGCGCUGGCAACCAGACCUGCCCGUAGGCGAUCAGCCGCUGUUCUCAGCGGUGCACUCGUUCUGCGAUCAGGCCAGCAUCGGUUUUGGCGGCCGGAUAAAGGCCCGGGGAACGUAGCUCCCUCCCGGGGGAGUGUUAUAGCCUCGGGCGCAAUGCGGCCAGCCGGGACCGAGGACCGCGCUUCGGCUAGGAUGCUGGCGUAAUGGUUGUCAGCGACCCGUCUUGAAACACGGACCAAGGAGUCUAACAUCUAUGCGAGUGUUUGGGUGUCAAACCCAUGCGCGGAAUGAAAGUGAACGGAGGUGAGAACCCUUUAGGGCGCAUCAUCGACCGAUCCAGAUGUCUUCGGAUGGAUUUGAGUAUGAGCAUAGCUGUUGGGACCCGAAAGAUGGUGAACUAUGCCUGAAUAGGGUGAAGCCAGAGGAAACUCUGGUGGAGGCUCGCAGCGGUUCUGACGUGCAAAUCGAUCGUCAAAUUUGGGUAUAGGUGCGAAAGACUAAUCGACCAUU
rnacentral:rRNA from 1 species